GGGGCCCGCAGCGGAGGCUGCCAUGGCCACGGCGCUGACCCCCACGCCGGCCGGCGGGAGCCGCUCCGCCGAGUCCCCGCUGAGCCCGGCGCGGCUGAGCCGGCUGCAGGAGAAGGAGGAGCUGCGGCAGCUCAAUGACCGCCUGGCCGCCUACAUCGAGCGGGUGCGGGCGCUGGAGGCCGACAAGUCGGCGCUGCAGCAGCGGCUGAGCGAGCACCAGGAGGGCAGCGACCGGGAGCUGGGCUGCCUGCGGCUCCGCUACGAGGCGGAGCUGGCCGACGCCCGCCGGGCCCUGGACGACAUCGCCAUCGAGCGGGCCACGCUGCAGGUGGAGCUGGGCAAGAUUGGCGAGGAGCACCGGCAAUUGCAUGUCAGGAAUUCCAAAAAAGAAAGUGAUUUAAACCUGGCCCAGGCUCGUGUGAGAGACCUUGAUGCCCAGCUAAAUGCGAAGGAAGCUGAUUUAGCAACAGCCCUGAAUGAGAACCGGACUCUGGAGAACGAGCUCCGUGAAUUAAAGGAUCAAGUACUCAGUCUGAAUCUGUCACUGGAGGAUACUAAAAAGCAUCUUCACAGUGAAAUGUUGAGGAGGGUGGACCUAGAAAACCAUAUGAAAACUUUGCAGGAAGAAAUGACGUUCCAGAAGCGCCUUCAUGAAGACGAGCUCAAGGAGACAAAAAGAGUCCAUGAGAGCAGGAUAGCAGAAGUAGAAUCUGGACAUCAAAGAGAAUUUGAAAGUAAGCUCUCAGAUGCUCUGCAGGGGCUCAGAAAACAGCAUGAAGAACAAAUUCAAGGCUACAAAGAGGAGAUGGAGCGAACAUUCAGUGCAAAGGUGGAGAAUGCCCAGCUAACUGCAGCAAGAAACAGUGAGUUUGCCAAUGCUGCUCGGGAGGAGCUGAUGGAAACACAGAAGAGAGUUGAUAUCCUGUUAUCUCAAGUUAAUCAAUACCAAAGCCAGAAUGUUGCUUUGGAGAGCAGAAUAAAGGAGCUACAGAAUUUGCUGGACUAUGAUCGUGAUCUCCAUCGAAGGCGUAUGGCUGAAAAGGAGGAAGAAAUGGCACAAGCUCAGAAGCAGGCACAAGCACAGCUGGAAGAGUAUGCACAUCUCUUAGAUGUGAAACUGGCUCUGGACUUGGAAAUAAAUGCGUACAGAAAGAUGUUGGAAGGAGAGGAACAGAGGCUAAAGCUGUCACCCAGUCCAUCUUCACACAGCGCAGCAAGUCAGGGCCGAAGAUUCCUGCAUGGGAAGAAAAGAAAAAUCAAAGAAACCAAAAAGAGGGAGCAUAGUGCUGCAUUUAAGACUGUUCAGCAUGUUUCAGCUUCUGGAAAUAUAUCUAUUGAAGAGAUCGAUGCAGAUGGGAAAUUUGUAAGGCUUAAAAACCACUCUAAUGAGGAUCAACCUCUGCAUGGCUGGGUGUUGAGACGACGUAUUGGAAGUGUGGCAGAUGUUAAUUACAAGUUUCCUUCACGGUUCACUCUUCAGGCAGGCCAAGAAGUUACAAUCUGGGGUGCAGCUGCUGGUGUAAGCCCAGGUCCUAGUGAUCUGGUCUGGAAGUCUCAGAAGUCUUGGGGAACUGGGGAUAAUAUUGGUGUUACACUCAUCACAGAUGAUGGUGAGGAACUCGCAGAGAGGAAGAUAAUACUUGUACCCAGAGGAGAAGAAAGUGAGCAAGAUGAUGAUUAUGAAGAAAUAACUGGAAGUGAAGCAGAGUUUGCAUCUCAGGUAAGCUGCCUGAAGUUUAAAUAUAUGCUGUCAACAGUCCUUCAAUGGCCAUUUCUUUUCAUUACUAAAUGAAAAUACUGCUUCAAGUACUCUUCACAUCCCACAACUUAAUGUUUUUCUUGAUGUCAGACCAAAAGAAGAAGAAAAAAGAAAUGUUGUUUGGUUUCAUGAUAGUGGUUCCUGUGAGCAUCCUUAAGCAGCAACUAUACAAUACAGUUGUGUGCCAUUUAUGCAAAAUGAAGAUCCCAGCUGUUCUGUCAUGUAAUGUAGACAAUCAUCUGAAAACACAUCUCAGUCCCAGGUGACAUAGACUGUGUGUUGAUACCUUCUGUAAUAUCUGGACUUUGGAAUUCACAUAUUCCAUCUGAUGUCUUUGUGAGAAGCAUUGUCCAUAACAUGAUGGAAUUUCCUGCCUUCUGAUACUGGACCCUGGCCUUGGAUUCACUGAUACAAAGAGCAGAACACAAGCUCCACGUGAAGUUAUUUUUACUUUUAUACAAGGAUCUGGUUUCCGUGAUCUGCUGGAACAGAGAAGGGUACAGAGUUUACAAAGCUUCUAAACAUGUGCCCUAGAAGGUUGUUAAAUACUUGAAAAUGAACAUGAGUCUGCCUCAGCUUUCUCAGUAUUCUGAUAUGGUGUUCUCCAAAGGUAAUUUCUCUUUCCAGCCUGAGUAGGAAAUAUGGGACUGAUCACACCCUUGCACCUUGAGCAGGUCUGAAGUAAAAGAUGUCCUGAAGAGUGAUGAGUGUCUGAAAUGUUUCCUGCUCAGAUCCUGAUGCAGAAAUACAUGAAAGUGGUCUGGAUCACUUCCUAUAGUGAAGCAUUUUAGAAUUAAAAGCAAGCUGUAAAAAAUAUUCCUGCCUGUUAUUAAAUGUACUGUUUCCAUAGUCUAGCACCUGGAAGUCCCUGUUUCAGUGUUGUAUAUUCUUAGAUACAGUGUAUCACAGCAGAGCUGUGCCUGCCUUAACUUGGAAAAAUGUAUCCUGGAAAUGUGAAAAAGCAUCUCAUUCUGACAGAGCAGGUUCUGUGACCAGUGCUGCUGGCACUGUUUAAUUGCUGCCAACAGCUUCCUAAGGGGCUAGAGAGAAAAAGAUGCUAAGUCAAAAAAUCAAAACUAGAAAGCCCCAACUGUAGUGAAAAACACAUCAAAGUUACUGCUCUUGAGCCCUUAUGUGCUAAAUCUCCAUGCAGGCUGCAGCUGUGUGUGUCUAAUGGGACAGCUGGGGGAAAACUGGUUAUGUGCAGUGUGCAGCUCCCUGUCACUCUGGUAGCUCAGUGCUCCAUGGCAAACCUCCUGUAACCCUCAGGAGGGGACAGUCAGCCUCGGGGGCACUGCAGUCACCGUCUCUCCACCAAACUGCUCCCCUGCUGCCCUGGGAGGAAAGGAAGGGCUUUGAGCCACAUGAAGUCAACUUCCACCUGAGAGCAGGAGGGGAGGGGAGCAGCUGAGCCUGCAGAUUUCUCUCGAUGCUGGAAUAGUGUUUUGACUGUCUUUUAACUUGCCAAAGUGUUCAGUUCCAAAUUCAAGACCUGCUUUGUGUUAAGAUGCAGGUGUUAAGGUGAGGUUUUUCCUUAUGCUAGCUUAAACUCUUACAUUAUUUAAAAAUUCAAAUUUUGAGACAUCAGAAGUAGGUGCUAGUUUAAGACUUGGAUUGUAGCAGAUCCAAAUUCUUGUUCCACCUCAAACAAUAGAAAUAGUUGCUGCUCUAACUUUGCUGUAUUUAUCUUCAUUUCUUAAAACUUUUUUAACUAUUAAAGAUAUUUUUCAUGUAUAUAAAAGCACUCUUGGAUUUAAAUAUUUGCAGAUUAAAUAAUAAAGGUCUAUCUGUUCAAUGA